AGGGGGAUCGCACCCGACACGCGGGAUAUCGACCCUAUAUGCCAUGCUCCUGGGUGCUGAUGCGGGUCCCCCGGCACACUUCCACUCAAAGUGGGAACAAGCCACAGGUGUCACCUUAACGGAACCACAAUGGGAGCAAAUACACGUCCUGUCCCACCAGGGGAUACUUAGUUCUAAAAUGCAGGAACUUAAUUAUAAACUAUUGACGCACUGGUACCAGACCCCCGCACGACUCCAUGCCAUGGGGGUCACCCCCGACAACAAGUGUUGGAGAUGUGACAUCGCCGAAGGGACGGCAUUACACCUGUGGUGGUCUUGCCCUCGG